UUUAGGACUAGCAGAAAGGAACUCUGGCCAUACAAAAGCACUUGAUGAGUGGAACUGCUGCUUCUGCUAUUCAGGUUUGAAACUGAGUUGGUGAUAGGGACUAUGCUAAACUGCAUCUUACUAGGCUUCUCUUUUUUACUGGACAUUCCCUAAGAAAAGAGAUAAUUUCUAACAGAUUCUAUCUGUCCUCUCCAUCCUCUACCCAGGUCUAUUUGUACCUGAAACAGCAGUACUAAUACCUACAACACAGUUGCUUCCCAGAGGACUGAAUUCCUCUCUCCAGGUAUGUUAGCUUAUAAGAACCUGAGAUUCUUUUAUUUAGAACCAAUUGUAAUGCCUCCCCUAUGUCUUUCAUAUAACUUUUCACACUUACUGAACAAGGCAAAAUCUAGCCUGGUUUGUUGUUUGUUUGUCAGUUAUUGGCCAUGACAUUUAUACAGUUAUCUUGUUCCUCUCAUGCUAACAGAUCAAUGAUGCUUUCUCAUUUUGUUGGUACUCUGAGAUCGGCAGAUAUACAGGUUUACAUAGAAAUAGAGACUAAAAUCACAAAAGAGAGUACAGUUAAGUUUAAUACAGAAGAGCUUCUCAGGCCUGUCCUCCAUGUAAUCCCCAGUAGUGCAGCAGGCAAGAUUUAUUCCAUUCAUAAUCAAGCUGAACACAGAGGCUAAAUGAUAUACCCAGGGUUAAAAGAUAUAUUGGCACCAUAGCUGGUAAUAUGUCUCAGAGCAUCUAAACAGGCUAAAGUUGAUGAAGUACUCAGGUACUGUAAUCCUAGCCCUCCUUUUUCUCCAAUGGACUGUGCUAAUCAAUUUCUGUUUCAUAUUUCUUCUUUCUCUCUGCCUAUUGCUUCUUAGGCUUAAAGAACAGUAAAUAAGUCACUGCAUUGUACUAGUUUUAAUCCAAAAUGUUGAUAACCAGUGUUUUCAAGGGACCAUCUCUUCUCUUGGAGAAAGUCUUAUGUUGCCAGAGACCCUUCUGAAGGCUUAGCAUCUCCUGGCCACCUUUUAAUCUCAAUACAUCUCAGAAUUUUGUGGACAAAACAUCUGUAGUGGAUUAGGCAAAAGACAUUUCUGCUUUGGGAAAUGGUAGCUUUUGCUUGAGUCAGAUAUUUGUACUCCUAGUGUCAGUAUCUGCUUUCCUCUAUAAAGGCAAAGACAACACUUCUCUCCGGGGAUCAAAGAGAAAAGUUCCUGUGUAGAUCCUUUUGCUCUGAUCUUUCCCUUUUGCAUGUUUAACUUAUUUGUGUCUGAAGUAGAUAGAAGGAGAGCUGUCAGAAUUUAAAUCAAAACUUAUGAGGCAUUGCAGAACAAGAGAAACAUCUUCUCUUAGGAUAGCAUUGACUCCUUUUGGGUCAAAAGAAGGAAAAGCAAGUGGGAUUGGUUUCACUACAUCCGCUAUCAUCUUGGUCUUUAAGUUAUUGGGAGGAAUAUGGAGAGCAGACACCCAGCCAUCACAAAGCAAUAUGUACGUAUGUGUAUUCACAUGCCCACACUGUGCCAGAGUAGCUGAUGUAAGAACAGAAGUGUGAGGGAGGACUCAUCAACCCUGUGAAAUGAACAUGGAAAGGGACUGCCUGGCUUUUGAGUCUACUUGGAGUGAGGUUGUUUUUAGGAAGUUUGUGCCAUAGAGGAGUAUUGUAGCACGGUGAAUGAUCCUUUGAGAUUCUUGCUGGAGAAAAUAUUUUUAAGUUUGUGGAAAAGCCUUGUCCAAUGACAACACCCAAGGGUGAGUAACAAUUAUUUCUGGUGAAAGUCAGUUCUCUACCUGGUAUAUGACAACAGCUGACUGCAUUUUCAGGUGCUCCUACAUACAUUCACCACUUCACACAAGUAAAUGUGGUCUAUCAUCUUCUACACAUGGAGGAAGUGGUUUAAAAAAAAAAAAAAGAGCAAACCCUAUUACUCAUCCUUACAGUUUCUGGAGAUUAGUGCUGGACCAGGGGGAAAGAUACAGUUCAUUUUAUCUUCUGGAAAGCAAUCCUUAUUGAUUCAAAUUCAGGAGAUCCUCUUUAAGCAGAAGUCAUGAUCAGAUAAUUUGACUGGUGCUGAAAGAAUGUGACCUUGAAAGACUAAGUAAAUAAGCUUUCCCAUCAUGUUCACAUGUGACAGACCCAUAACUGUAUGAUGUAACAGAAAGAUUAUAUUAGCCUUUAUUAUGUAUCACAAAAAAAUCACAAAUCAUUACUGUCGGUGUGCAGAGCACUUCUAAAGAACAUAUUUAAUUCCCAGAGUAGUGUUUGUGAUGCAUGUGAAGUUGUACUAAGUACAGUAAGUAAAGUAAAGCAAGGUUAAUCUAAUCUCCAUAAAACAGACGUUAG
ensembl:lncRNA